CUUAUCAUUUAGAGGAAGGAGAAGUCGUAACAAGGUUUCCGUAGGUGAACCUGCGGAAGGAUCAUUGUCGUGACCUGCCCGGCAGAACGACCCGAGAACACGUUUCGACGCUCGGGGACGGAGGGGGCCCUCGCGGCCGCCCCGUCCCCGCAUCCCGGGAGGCGAGGGCCUUUGACGCGUGUCGCGCUCCGGCGCUUCCGCCCGGCCGAGCCUCCCGGGCGUACCGAACACCGGCGUGAAUUGCGCCAAGGAACCUGAACGAAAGGGCGUCGCCCCCCCCGCCGUGCCGGAGACGGUGUCCGUGCGGGCGGGCCGCGUCGUCUUCGAUAUGUCUAAACGACUCUCGGCAACGGAUAUCUCGGCUCUCGCAUCGAUGAAGAACGUAGCGAAAUGCGAUACUUGGUGUGAAUUGCAGAAUCCCGUGAACCAUCGAGUCUUUGAACGCAAGUUGCGCCCGAGGCCGUCAGGCCGAGGGCACGUCUGCCUGGGCGUCACACGUCGUUGCCCCGCCCCGACACGUCCUCUCGUAAAAGGGAGGGGGGUCGGGACGGGACGGAUGAUGGCCUCCCGUGUGCCCCGUCACGCGGCCGGCAUAAACACAGGGUCCCCGGCGGCCGACGCCUCGACGAUCGGUGGUUGUCUAGACCUCGGUUUCUUGUCGUGCGCGGGCGUCGUCGUGGGGGCUUCCCGAUGCGCGCCGGUUCCGGCGCUCCCAACGCGACCCCAGGUCAGGCGGGGUUACCCGCUGAAUUUAAGCAU
rnacentral:rRNA from 1 species